UACGUAGGUGGCAAGCGUUGUUCGGAAUUAUUGGGCGUAAAGGGCGCGUAGGCGGUUUGACAAGUCUGAUGUGAAAUCUCUGGGCUCAACCCAUAGCCUGCAUUAGAAACUGUCGGGCUUGAGUAUGGGAGAGGUGAGUGGAAUUUCCGGUGUAGCGGUGAAAUGCGUAGAUAUCGGAAGGAACACCUGUGGCGAAGGCGGCUCACUGGACCAUAACUGACGCUGAGGCGCGAAAGCUAGGGGAGCAAACAGG
rnacentral:rRNA from 1 species